UACGUAGGGGGCAAGCGUUGUCCGGAUUUAUUGGGCGUAAAGAGCGUGUAGGCGGCCUGACAGGUCUGCUGUGAAAACUCGAGGCUCAACCUCGAGAUGUCGGCGGAAACCGUCUGGCUAGAGUCCGGAAGAGGAGAGUGGAAUUCCUGGUGUAGCGGUGAAAUGCGCAGAUAUCAGGAGGAACACCCGUGGCGAAAGCGGCUCUCUGGGACGGUACUGACGCUGAGACGCGAAAGCGUGGGGAGCAAACAGG
rnacentral:rRNA from 1 species